rnacentral:rRNA from 1 species
AGUGAACGCUGGCGGUAGGCCUAACACAUGCAAGUCGAACGGCAGCACAGUAAGAGCUUGCUCUUACGGGUGGCGAGUGGCGGACGGGUGAGGAAUACAUCGGAAUCUACUUUUUCGUGGGGGAUAACGUAGGGAAACUUACGCUAAUACCGCAUACGACCUACGGGUGAAAGCAGGGGAUCUUCUGACCUUGCGCGAUUGAAUGAGCCGAUGUCGGAUUAGCUAGUUGGCGGGGUAAAGGCCCACCAAGGCGACGAUCCGUAGCUGGUCUGAGAGGAUGAUCAGCCACACUGGAACUGAGACACGGUCCAGACUCCUACGGGAGGCAGCAGUGGGGAAUAUUAGGCAAUGGGCGCGAGCCUGAUCCAGCCAUACCGCGUGGGUGAAGAAGGCCUUCGGGUUGUAAAGCCCUUUUGUUGGGAGAGAAAAGCAGCAGGUUAAUACCCCGCUGUUCUGACGGUACCCAAAGAAUAAGCACCGGCUAACUUCGUG